GAUGAACGCUGGCGGCGUGCCUAAUACAUGCAAGUCGAGCGAACAGACGAGGAGCUUGCUCCUCUGACGUUAGCGGCGGACGGGUGAGUAACACGUGGAUAACCUACCUAUAAGACUGGGAUAACUUCGGGAAACCGGAGCUAAUACCGGAUAAUAUAUUGAACCGCAUGGUUCAAUAGUGAAAGACGGUUUUGCUGUCACUUAUAGAUGGAUCCGCGCCGCAUUAGCUAGUUGGUAAGGUAACGGCUUACCAAGGCAACGAUGCGUAGCCGACCUGAGAGGGUGAUAGGCCACACUGGAACUGGGACACGGUCCAGACUCCUACGGGAGGCAGCAGUAGGGAAUCUUCCGCAAUGGGCGAAAGCUUGACGGAGCAACGCCGCGUGAGUGAUGAAGGUCUUCGGAUCGUAAAACUCUGUUAUUAGGGAAGAACAAAUGUGUAAGUAACUAUGCACGUCUUGACGGUACCUAAUCAGAAAGCCACGGCUAACUACGUG
rnacentral:rRNA from 1 species